rnacentral:rRNA from 1 species
UAGGGAAUCUUCGGCAAUGGGGGCAACCCUGACCGAGCAACGCCGCGUGAGUGAAGAAGGUUUUCGGAUCGUAAAGCUCUGUUGUAAGAGAAGAACGUGUGUGAGAGUGGAAAGUUCACACAGUGACGGUAACUUACCAGAAAGGGACGGCUAACUACGUGCCAGCAGCCGCGGUAAUACGUAGGUCCCGAGCGUUGUCCGGAUUUAUUGGGCGUAAAGCGAGCGCAGGCGGUUUAAUAAGUCUGAAGUUAAAGGCAGUGGCUUAACCAUUGUCCGCUUUGGAAACUGUUAAACUGGAGUGCAGAAGGGGAGAGUGGAAUUCCAUGUGUAGCGGUGAAAUGCGUAGAUAUAUGGAGGAACACCGGUGGCGAAAGCGGCUCUCUGGUCUGUAACUGACGCUGAGGCUCGAAAGCGUGGGGAGCAAACAGG